CGGCAGCCAUGCUUCCUGAACAGCCUGAGGAACCAUGAGCCGCUUAAACUUCUUUUCUUUAUAAAUUAUGCAGUCUCAGUCUCUUUCUCCAGACCUGGAAGAAAUUGACCUAUGAUGAUGUGAAGACCCAAAGUCCAGACCAAGAGAAAAGUGUGAGCUUGGAGCUCUUUAUCAUACAGAGACUUGGUGUAGAUAAGAGGGGCAAUGGGUUUCCUGCUUUCCCUCAAACUGUCCUGCUUUGGUCUCUCAGUCUAAAUAUAUUCAUGACUCUAGAUGCUUUGAGCCCCUAGAAACUAUAGAGACAAAUGACAUCCACAAGCAGUUUUACCUUGGCCCAGUCACCGGAGCCUGACCUGUAUGGGCUGCAUCAAUGAAGUCCCCUGUGCAUUGCCUUCUGAAUGGACACAGCCAGUGGGAAACUGGAGAGACGGAAGGUUGGAGCAAGAAAGAAGAUAGUGCAUUUGUUCCCUGGUUUCCUCAGGCUGGCUUUUUCAUGCACGGAAGAUCAGCGCUCCUCUCAAAUUGGCCACCAGAGGUAGA